GGCUAGUCUCAAACUCCUGACCUCGUGAUCCACCCGCCUCGGCCUCCCAAAGUGCUGGGAUUACAGGCGUGAGCCACCACACUCAGCCUCCAAAUAUGAUUUCUUUAAGUUAACCUUUUACCAAAACUCCAGCCAGAGGUAACCUGUAGGUAUUAUGGUUUGAACUAGCAGAGGUCCUGAGACCAUCUAACUGUUGGGUCUAUUUCUUGGGGACAGCAGCUACCAAGGGGGUGCCAGCUGGAAACAGUGACACAGAGGGGGGCCAGCCUGGUCGGAAACGACGCUGGGGAGCCAGCACAGCCACCACACAGAAGAAACCUUCCAUCAGUAUCACCACUGAAUCACUAAAGGUGAGGUGGGAGGAGCCAGGGAAGGGAGGAUGAGACCUGUUAAGGUGGGAGUAGACAUGGGCCCAGUGUAACGGGGUGGGGGGUAUCUGUGUCCCAGAGCCUCAUCCCCGACAUCAAACCCCUGGCGGGGCAGGAGGCUGUUGUGGAUCUUCAUGCUGAUGACUCUCGCAUCUCUGAGGAUGAGACAGAGCGUAAUGGCGAUGAUGGGACCCAUGACAAGGGGCUGAAAAUAUGCCGGACAGUCACUCAGGUAGUACCUGCAGAGGGCCAGGAGAAUGGGCAGAGGGAAGAAGAGGAAGAAGAGAAGGAACCUGAAGCAGAACCUCCUGUACCUCCCCAGGUGUCAGUAGAGGUGGCCUUGCCCCCACCUGCAGAGCAUGAAGUAAAGAAAGGUGA
rnacentral:sRNA from 1 species